UUUCGGUUGCCCUUCUCUUAGCAAGAAGAUUGUCUUUUCCUCUAAAGAUUGCGUAGAUUCUUGAAACUUCAAGAGAACACUUCCAGCUUCAUAUUGAUCAUGAGAAGACUAUUGGAUAUGCUGAUAGAGAUGAUUGAAAUCUGACAUUGGUGCUGUAAUCUAUGCUUUAGUUUAGAAAUCUAGUACUCUAUCUCUUGGGAAGUAUAUGUAUUGGUCAUUAUUACUUGAACUGAUUAUGUGGGAUUUGGGACCCAACAUUUGUGAUUCACUUUUAUUUUGAUUAAUUUAAAGAUGUGUUAUGACCAUAUA